UACAGAGGUCCCAAGCGUUGUUCGGAUUCAUUGGGCGUAAAGGGUGUGUAGGUGGCGCCGUAAGUCGGGUGUGAAAUUUCGGAGCUUAACUCCGAACCUGCAUUCGAUACUGCGGUGCUUGAGGACUGGAGAGGAGACUAGAAUUCCUGGUGUAGCAGUGAAAUGCGUAGAUAUCAGGAGGAAUACCGAUGGCGAAGGCAGGUCUCUGGGCUGACACUGACGCUCAUGCACGAAAGCGUGGGGAGCAAACAGG
rnacentral:rRNA from 1 species